rnacentral:rRNA from 1 species
UACGUAGGGGGCAAGCGUUGUCCGGAAUCAUUGGGCGUAAAGGGUGCGUAGGCGGCGCGGUAAGUCGGGUGUGAAAUCUCGGAGCUUAACUCCGAAACUGCACUCGAUACUGCUUUGCUCGAGGACUGGAGAGGAGAUUGGAAUUCACGGUGUAGCAGUGAAAUGCGUAGAUAUCGUGAGGAAGACCAGUGGCGAAGGCGGAUCUCUGGACAGUUCCUGACGCUGAGGCGCGAAGGCCAGGGGAGCAAACGGG